UGGAGAUCAACAAAGUGGAGCCAUGUCUUUUUUGAGCAUCCUGCCACAUUUGACACGUUGGCAAUGGAGACAAAGAAGAAGGAAGAGAUUAAGAAGGACCUCAAGAAGUUCAGCUAGGGGAAAGAGUACUAUGAGAAAAUUGGGAAGGCUUGGAAGAGAGGCUAUCUCCUUUAUGGUCCUCCUGGAACUGGCAAAUCCACCAUGAUUGCUGCCAUGGCUAAUUUUUUGAACUAUGAUGUCUAUGAUCUGGAGCUUACCACAGUCCAGGAUAACUCGGAGCUGAGGUCUCUUUUGAUUGACACCUCAAGUAAGUCGAUCCUAGUUAUAGAGGAUAUUGAUUGCUCUCUUGAUCUCACCGGCCAACGCGAGAAGAAAAAGGAGAAAGACGAGGACAAGGAGGAGAAGAAUCCAAUUGAAAAGAAGGAAAAAGAAGAUGGUGGGAGCAAGAAAAGCAAGGUUACAUUAUCCGGGCUUCUGAAUUUCAUUGAUGGCCUUUGGUCAGCUUCUGGGGAAGAAAGGAUUAUUGUGUUCACUACAAACUACGUGGACAAGCUUGAUCCUGCGUUGAUCAGGAGAGGAAGGAUGGAUAAGCACAUUGAAAUGUCCUAUUGUUGCUUUGAAGCAUUCAAGGUGCUAGCCAAGAACUAUUUAGAUAUUGAUUCGCAUGAACUGUAUGCAGUGAUUGAAAGUAUGCCGGCUGAAACCAACAUGACUCCUGCUGAUGUUGCGGAGAAUUUGAUGCCCAAGUGCGAUGAGGAUGACACAGAGACUUGUUUGAAGAAUUUGAUUGAAGCUCUCAAGGCGGCGAAGGAGGAGGCAAUCAAGAAGACUGAAGAAGAAGCACGGUUAAAAGCAGAGGAGGCGACAAAGAAGGCUGAGGAAGAAGUGUGGUCCAAGGCAGAGAAAGAAGAGAAGGAAAAGCAUGCAAAAGAAAAUGAAACUUCAUCUUCUUCUGCGAAAGAAAAUGGGUUGAUUGCUAAUGCUAAUGAGCAUGUAAUAUUCAUAAGUUAGCCCAACUGUUACACGUUUCAGCUUCUGCAAUUCUGGAAAACAGUUUCCAGAUUUGCAGCAGCCACAUGUUACGAUUUUUAAUAAUUUAACCAUAAGGAAUAAAACUACGAAAUUAAACAUGCAAGCAUAGGAGACAUAGAUCUAUUGAUAAAAAAAUCGCCAUAAUUUUUAAGAAUGUGUGACCUUACAGAAAAUUUUCCAGAAUUGAGAAUCGCUACCGAAAAUCAAAAUUUUCCAGCACCAGUAACCCAACUUCGAAAACCCAUAACAAUUUGCAUACUCAGACGAUUCCAACACAAAACCUAUCAAUGGAAAGCUUAGGAUGUCUAGUUCUAUGAUAUGUAAGUAUAUUCACGUGAUUCUAAAUAAAGAAAACGAUUUCAAGCAAGGAAUAGAGAUUGUUAAUAUCAUCACAACAUAACAAACACACAUAUAUUACCCAAAUCAUACUACAAGUAAUUAAAGGCAAACAAUUCAUAAAAAUAAAUCAUAUAAGUUUAAGAAAUAUUUAAUACCUUAAGGCAAACACUAAGAAAAGAAGUUAUAAAACUUUCUUUUCCUUCUCCAAAGACUUAUGUUUCUUUCUUUUCUUUCUAAGAUUUGUAACCGUGUAGAAAAUAAAAGACGGCUUCUUAAAAAGAUAGCUUCCUCUUAAAUACUUGGUAAUUAAUAAAUAUUUUUUUAUAAAAACUAAUAACUUAAGUAACUUAUUUAAAGUAAUUUGAUAAAUUUUACUCACACACAAACACUCAAUAAUAACUAUCCUACUUAAUUUAAUAAGGUAAAAGAAGAAAAAAUAAAAAAAUAAAAGUAGACGUUACAAAACCUGUCUUUCUUAUGUUCCCAUUUGGACAUCAGUCUCACGAUAGGUGCUGGCGCAGUCCAUUUACUGUUUUUAUUUUAAUAAAUGAUAUCGAUUCUGGUAUUCUGAUUUAUGCAGUACAUUGCAUCACCAGUCUACUUGUAUGGGCUGACUUUUAAAGUUUGCGAUAGGUCAGGUUAUUGAAGCUUCAAUUGAUAAAAGUAUUAUGUUAUGUUAUUGGACUCCAUCAAAGAAAGGGGCAUUUUUUGAAAAAAGUUUUCUGAACUGGGUUUGUCCAGUUCCUCAAUUUUCAGAAACACGAGGAACUAAUCUUAUGAGUUGCAUUUUCAUCUUGUCGGUGAAUGUUCUGUUUGCUUAACUCAGUUUAUUUAUUUCUUUUAUCUUUUAAUUGUUUCUGAGGGUUAACUUGUCUUUCUCAUGGAGUCAUGGUCCCAUUUGGGCAUCAGUCUAACAGCAUCUUCUGGUGCAAAAUCCCCUCUACUGUUUUUAUGUUUAUAUAAUAUGAAAUUUUGGUAGUAUGAUUAAUUAAUGCAAAAACAUUGCAUCACAUGUCUAUUUGCCGGAGCUAGCUUUGAAGAGACUUUUCGUGUGUGUAGGAUCAAGUCAGUGGAGCUCUUUCUCCCUCUUUUUUUUUUUUUUUUUUGGUUGUAAAUUCUCUGAACUGGGUUUGCUCAGUUUCUGACUGAUUAGAAACGGCAGGAACUAUUCUCAUGAGUUGCAUUUUCUCAGUUUUUUAUUUUUAUUUUCAUUUUCUAAUUGUUUCUGAGAAUUGACUGCUGCUCGUUGUAUUAUUUUUAAUUUUUAUUUACAACAUAACUUUCAAUGGACCUAAAUGUAAUUGUCCAUGAAUACCUACUUGUUCGACAAGCAACUUAACAAGGACAUCUAACCUUUGCUAAAUAGCAAAGGAAUGGAGGUGGAAAAAAAGUUUUAAGGUUUUUGCCGUCCGAUUACAACCUUUCAAUUUUAUGGCAUGCUGCUUGACCAUUCGUCAUCAGCAACAGGUUAAAAAAAAAAGAAUCAACAUUGACUUUGAUUUUUUCUUUUCUUCUCAGCUAACUCCUAUUUAACUGUAUUAGUAGUCACCCAGAAACUUACCAUGCAAUGAUGUGUAGCUUUGUAUCUUAAUCAGCAAGGCACAACCUAGUGCAGUUGUGUCUAUCUCCACAAUAUAUUACAGAAUGGAUCAGUUUUAGCGGAUCUAAUGUUUGUGUAUGCUAUUUUCAAAGCUCACUUCCCAUAUUGCCUUUGGGGCUAUGUAGAAAGAUGUAGCCACACAUUGGCGCCACAUAUGUAUCAUUACAUUGAAAUUACAUUUGAUGAAUUUUCAGGUGAGCGACUCAAGCAUAGUGAAGUCUUCUCUGCCAUACAGAACUAUCUUAGUAUCAAAGUCUCCAAGCAUGCCGCAAGGUUUAAAGCUGAUGUUGUCGAAGAUAGCCAGUCAUUAGUCCUUAGUAUGGAGGAUAAAGAGGAAGUAACUGAUGAGUUUGAAAGGGUUAAUGUUUGGUGGGAAUUGGGUAAGAAUAUUUCCAGAAGAGAAUUUCAAUUCUCUAUUUAUCCUGCUGCAGAGGAGAAGAGGUAUUACAAGCUCACAUUCCAUAAACGUGACCGAGAACUCAUCCCAGGAUCCUAUGUUAACCAUGUCUUGGAUGGAGGAAGGCCAUCACAGUGAAGAACCGGCAGCGGAAGCUGUACAGCAACAAUCCUAGCAAGAAUUGGUGCGGCUGGAGAUCAACAAAGUGGAGCCAUGUCUUUUUUGAGCAUCCUGCUACAUUUGACACGUUUGUAAUGGAGACAAAGAAGAAGGAAGAGAUCAAGAAGGACCUCAAGAAGUUCAGCGAGGGGAAAGAGUACUGUGCGAAAAUUGGGAAGGCUUGGAAGAGAGGCUAUCUCCUUUACGGUCCUCCUGGAACUGGUAAAUCAACCAUGAUUGCUGCCAUGGCUAAUUUUUUGAACUAUGAUGUCUAUGAUCUUGAGCUUACCAAACGGAGCUGAGGACUCUCUUGAUUGAGACCUCAAGCAAGUCAAUCAUAGUUAUUGAGAACAUUUGACUGCUCACUUGAUCUUACUGGUAAACGUGAAAGGAAAAAGGAGAAAGAUGAGAAUGAAGAAGAAAUGAAUCCAAUUAAAAAGAAGGCAAAGAAUAGAGUGAGAGCAAACAAAGUAAAGUCACUUCGUCUGGGCUUCUGAAUUUCAUUGAUGGCCUUUGGUCAGCUUGUGGGGGGAGAAAGGAAUUGUUUUCACUACAAAUUAUGUUGAUAAGUUUGAUCCUGCUUUGAUAAGGAGAGGCAGAAUGGACAAGCGCAUAGAAAUGUCUUAUUGUUGCUUUGAAGCAUUCAUGGUGCUAGCCAAGAAUUAUUUGUUUAUUGAGUCACAUGCAUUGUUUGCAGAAAUUAACAGUUUGUUGGCUGAAACCAACAUGGCUUCUGCUGAUGUUGCGGAGAAUUUGAUGCCAAAGUCUGAUGAGGAGGAUGCAGAUUCUUGUUUGAAGAAUUUGAUUGAAGCUCUUAAGGUGGCAAAGGAGGAGGCAAGAAAGAACGCUGAAGAAGAAGCACUGUUAAAGGCAGAGGAGGCGAAAAAGAAGGCUAAGGAAGAAGCAAAAGCAGAGAAAGAAGAGGACAAGCAUGUCAUACAGAAUGUGAAAGAUGAUGGAACUUCUGAUAUUGGAGUGAAACAGAAUGGUUUCAUUAAUAAAGCAGGUGGAGGAGGGGAAUACUUGAUCUUGAAUGCUAAUGGGGAAAUGGGCAAUUGAGGCUCCAGCACUAGCAAGAAUUAGCAAUAAUUUUAUAGUUAAUGUUAGAAGCUGGAGCCAAAUGUUGAUUAGCAGAUGUUUUAUUUUAUCUCAAUACUUUGUAUCAUUGUAUGCAACUUCUGUGAAUUCUAAUGUUACAUUAAUAGAAGUAAUCAUAGCUACAUUAGCUUUUAUUUUAACUAUUUAAUCGUGGAAUGCUUUUACUAGGGCUUUAGGAAAUUCAAAGAGAUUCGAUUGUCAAUUAACAUAUGAUGGUGAAGAAAGUGAAGUUAGAUGACUAACGCAUGCUAACUUUUAGAUUCAUCCAAAUUGAUUCAAUUCAUUUGUACUGCCACAUAACCAUAUUUUCAUCCUCCGCUGUUUUAAUCAUUGAUUGUGGCAGUUGGACCAUUUCUAAAAUGAAACUAAUUUGUUUAUAAGACUUAAGAGUCAAGCCUGCUAAGCAAGAACUUUUUUUUUUCAUUAUUAUUAUUAACAAUAAUUACUAAUAAUAAUAAUAAUUUUUGAAUAAUAAUAAUAAUAAAAAUCGAAAUACAAAAUAAUAAUUAUGACAAUAAUUAAUUAAGAAUAUUUUAAUAAUUUCUAAUAAUUGAACUCAUUUUGAUCUCGACUCCAAUAUAAAAUAAAUACAUCAAUAAGAAAAGAGUCCAUUCUAAUUUUAAACAACUUAUUCUACUGUUAAUUUUUUAUUUCAAUUCCAAUCUAUUUCAAUUUGUUUAGUAAACGUACAUAAAACAGUACGAUUGACUAAUUAAAAUAGUGGUCAUCUGGGUCUUAUUUAAUAAAUUGUUAAUAUUUAUUUUUAAAUAAUUAUUUUGUAAUAUUAAAGGAAAAACCGUCAGGAGAUUAUUAUCUUAAAUAAUCAUUUAAGAUACAUGAUUUUUGUACUGCAGUUGAUGAAAAUCUAACAGUUGUGAAAAUAUAAUAUAAUAAAAUUAUGUUAUUUUCAUGACUAUUAGAUUUUUAUCCAACAACUAUUGAAGAAUUAUCUAUCUUACAUCAUCAGGAAAGAUAACAAAAGCCGCCAUUUUACCCUUUUUAUUGGUCUGAGAGUCAACCCUCUCACAUGCUUUUCUGCCGACGUAAUUGGCAUUUGGCUAUUAGCAAAAGCAUUACGUGGAGGUCAAAGAUGAAGGCUAAUAUGUACAAUGGAGUUGGUGACAGAUAAAAACACAAAGACAGCAGAAAAGACAGAAAUAUUUUUCUUUUUAAGAAAAUUUUAGAUUACCUCUAAUAAAAAAAAUAAUUUUUAAAAUACUAUCAAAUUAUUAUAAAUUUUAAUUUAACUCUUUUUUAUUUUAAAAAAUAAUGGUGAAUUAAUGAAAAAUCUUUUAUAUUCUUUACAAAAUUAGGAGCGAGUUGAUAUUUACGAUAACUUGAAAAAUAUUUUAAAGAAUGUAAUUUUACAAGAGUAAUUAAAUUUUCUUUUUUCAAAUUAAAGAAAGACCGACCUUGACUCUUUAAGUCUUUGCGGAAGCCACUCGGAAGAAAGCAAUUAGGCAGUGCUGGUGAUAGCUUCAUAGCGGUGAUCAGCAAGCCAAAACACAAUAUUUAAAGACCCUUCUCCACACUAAGCUUACAGAGUUUAUAUACUAGUUUUGUCUGAAAUACCUAGAGAGUAACGUAGCAAAAUGGUGACUACUGGAGAAUUGUGGGCAACUAUAGGCUCAGUUAUGGCGAGUGUCAUGUUUGUAUCAGCUAUAUUCAAGCAAUACUUUCCAUAUCAACUUUGGGGCUAUGUUGAAAAAUAUAGUCAAAAAUUGUUUCGGAUUCUGUAUCCUUACAUAGAAAUUACGUUUCAUGAAUUCUCCGGUGAUCGUCUCAAGCGCAGCGAAGCCUUCUCCGCCAUACAAAACUAUCUCAGCACCACUGCCACUUUGCAUGCUACAAGGUUCAAGGCUGAUGUUGUCAAAGACAGUCAGUCUAUAGUCCUUAGCAUGGAUGAUAGGCAGGAGGUCACAGAUGAGUUUAAAGGGAUCAAAGUUUGGUGGGUGUUGGGUAAGAAUAUUCCUAAGACUCAGUCGUUUUCAUUUUAUCCAGCGACGGAUGAGAAGAGGUAUUACAGGCUCACGUUCCAUAAGAGUCACCGGGAACUCAUCACCGGGCCCUAUGUUAACCAUGUGUUGGCUGGAGGAAAGGCUAUCACCGUGAAGAACCGGCAACGGAAGCUGUACAGCAACAAUCCUAGCAAGAAUUGGUAUGGCUGGAGAUCAACAAAGUGGAGCCAUGUCUUUUUUGAGCAUCCUGCUACAUUUGAUACGUUGGCAAUGGAGACAAAGAAGAAGGAAGAGAUCAAGAAGGACCUCAAGAAGUUCAGCGAGGGGAAAGAGUACUAUGAGAAAAUUGGGAAGGCUUGGAAGAGAGGGUAUCUCCUUUACGGUCCUCCAGGAACUGGCAAAUCAACCAUGAUUGCUGCUAUGGCCAACUACAUGAACUAUGAUGUGUAUGAUCUUGAACUUACCACAGUGAAAG
rnacentral:lncRNA from 1 species